ACGUAGGAUGCAAGCGUUGUCCGGAUUUAUUGGGCGUAAAGAGUUCGUAGGCGGUUCGUUAAGUCUGAUGUUAAAGACUGGGGCUCAACCCCGGGAGUGCAUUGGAUACUGGCGGACUGGAGUGUGGUAGAGGCUAGUGGAAUUCCCAGUGUAGCGGUGAAAUGCGUAGAUAUUGGGAAGAACACCAGUGGCGUAGGCGACUAGCUGGGCCAUAACUGACGCUGAGGAACGAAAGCCAGGGGAGCGAAUGGGAUUAGAUACCCCAGUAGUCCUGGCCGUAAACGAUGGAUACUAGGCGUAGUGGGUAUCGACCCCUACUGUGCCGCAGCUAACGCGAUAAGUAUCCCGCCUGAGUAGUACGGCCGCAAGGUUG
rnacentral:rRNA from 1 species